GUCCACGCUGUAAACGAUGUCAACUAGCCGUUGGGUCUCCUUGGAGACAUAGUGGCGCAGCUAACGCAUUAAGUUGACCGCCUGGGGAGUACGGCCGCAAGGUUAAAACUCAAAUGAAUUGACGGGGGCCCGCACAAGCGGUGGAGCAUGUGGUUUAAUUCGAUGCAACGCGAAGAACCUUACCUACCCUUGACAUCCAGAGAAUCUGUUAGAGAUAGUAGAGUGCCUUCGGGAACUCUGAGACAGGUGCUGCAUGGCUGUCGU
rnacentral:rRNA from 1 species